UGGGGGAAUUUUGGACAAUGGGGGAAACCCUGAUCCAGCCAUCCCGCGUGUGCGAUGAAGGCCUUCGGGUUGUAAAGCACUUUUGGCAGGAAAGAAACGUCGCGGGUUAAUACCCCGCGAAACUGACGGUACCUGCAGAAUAAGCACCGGCUAACUACGUGCCAGCAGCCGCGGUAAUACGUAGGGUGCAAGCGUUAAUCGGAAUUACUGGGCGUAAAGCGUGCGCAGGCGGUUCGGAAAGAAAGAUGUGAAAUCCCAGAGCUUAACUUUGGAACUGCAUUUUUAACUACCGGGCUAGAGUGUGUCAGAGGGAGGUGGAAUUCCGCGUGUAGCAGUGAAAUGCGUAGAUAUGCGGAGGAACACCGAUGGCGAAGGCAGCCUCCUGGGAUAACACUGACGCUCGUGCACGAAAGCGUGGGGAGCAAACAGGAUUAGAUACCCUGGUAGUCCACGCCCUAAACGAUGUCAACUAGCUGUUGGGGCCUUCGGGCCUUGGUAGCGCAGCUAACGCGUGAAGUUGACCGCCUGGGGGAGUACGGUCGCAAGA
rnacentral:rRNA from 1 species